UGGGGAAUAUUGCGCAAUGGGCGAAAGCCUGACGCAGCGACGCCGCGUGAGGGAUGAAGGUUUUCGGAUCGUAAACCUCUGUCAGAAGGGAAGAAACCGCACUGUGCUAAUCAGCAGUGCCUUGACGGUACCUUCAAAGGAAGCACCGGCUAACUCCGUGCCAGCAGCCGCGGUAAUACGGAGGGUGCAAGCGUUAAUCGGAAUUACUGGGCGUAAAGCGCACGUAGGCUGCUUUGUAAGUCAGGGGUGAAAUCCCACGGCUCAACCGUGGAACUGCCUUUGAUACUGCUUAGCUUGAAUCCGGGAGAGGGUGGCGGAAUUCCAGGUGUAGAGGUGAAAUCCGUAGAUAUCUGGAGGAACAUCAGUGGCGAAGGCGGCCACCUGGACCGGUAUUGACGCUGAGGUGCGAAAGCGUGGGGAGCAAACAGG
rnacentral:rRNA from 1 species